rnacentral:rRNA from 1 species
AGUCGAGCGACGCACGGGUGAGGGUAACCGAGUCCGUGACGGAGCGGCGAACGGGUGAGUAACACGUGAGCAACCUGCCCCGAAGACCGGGAUAGCCCAGGGAAACUUGGAUUAAUACCGGAUACCCUCGAGUCAUCGCAUGGCGAUUCGAGGAAAUGCCUUUACGCUUCGGGAUGGGCUCGCGACCUAUCAGCUAGUUGGUGAGGUAACGGCUCACCAAGGCGUCGACGGGUAGCUGGUCUGAGAGGACGAUCAGCCACACUGGGACUGAGAUACGGCCCAGACUCCUACGGGAGGCAGCAGCAGGGAAUUUUGCACAAUGGGCGCAAGCCUGAUGCAGCAACGCCGCGUGGGGGAUGAAGGCCUUCGGGUUGUAAACCCCUUUCAGGAGGAACGAUAAUGACGGUACCUCCAGAAGAAGCCCCGGCCAACUACGUGCCAGCAGCCGCGGUAAUACGUAGGGGGCGAGCGUUGUCCGGAAUCAUUGGGCGUAAAGAGCUCGUA